GGAUGGAAAAAAACAGCAGAUGGUACUUUUGUUAGCUGCUGUGGGUUAGAGGAAGUAUUGAUAAUGCUGUUUGGUUUCAGAACCUUGUUCUUAGUAUAGUUGUUGAAGUAGCUAAAUAAAUGAUAGGGAGUUAAAUGGGAUUGAACCCUUUCAGUUGAAUUCAAUAGGUUGAUUCUUCUGGGCCUUUAUUUAUCUGUUUUCAGAGUGUUUCUAUGCCAGCCUAUGCUAGCAGUCUUAAAAUUGUAUGAGGCUCAAAGGCUAUCUGGGAUUGGCAUCCAUUUGUUCUUCUCUUGGACAAGAUAUACAUGUUCUUGGGAGUCCAAAGUCCAGUUGUCUGCAUGUCUGGGGGGCAGUACCAAUAAAAAGGCAAAGAGCCUGAACUCUUCCUACCCUCUGAGUGAUGACUGGGAUGCCCAGAUUACAUUUUUGUCACAGACUUGGCAGAUGGCUCUUUCACCUACACUGACUUCCACCAAACUUCAGCUCAUAGACACUUGAGAAGAUGUGGGUAAGCAGACUGAAGCUCUUUAAUGGGAUAAAUGAAAAACGGAACUGAGGUAGAGGAAAUAAACUUGCUGUGAAAAUGGGACUAAGGAACGAAAACACAUUUGUACUAGUGAGUGUGAAGGUUGCAAAAGAGGGAAAAAGUGUGUACUAUGUUCUUAGUAUGAUACUACUACUAAAAUAUAACUAGCCAUUUUAGUGGCCAGCAUACUAAAAUUAAAGGCUAUAAAGGAAACAGAGGAAGCAAGCUGAACCAGCUACACACCUGACCCUGAGCAUUCAAGCAAACUGACCUCUGGGGCACUGGUAAAUUGGCUUUGGGGAUAAAACAGGAAUGGAGCUGUGAGAUCAAGAACCUCAUACACUUGUAUGAUUGCGAAAAAAAAAAAAAAAAAAAGAAAAAACAAACAAACAAACAAAAAAAAACACCACACAACUGGAUUUUCAGCCUCCAACAGUUCUCAGGCAGCUGGGCUUUGUUCAAAUGUGGGGAUACCACCGGAGUAAUAAAAUGCUCCAGGUGCUAGCAGUUGUGCUUGCCGCAGUCCUACUCUAUUGGGUGUUGCAUGCUUUAAUUUGUUUUUAUUUCUGCUAAUGAAAAUAAAUAGAAAUGAGAAAACUCCAGGGAGCAAAGAAAGAAACGGCAUUUACGUUUCAAAGCUCGGCAGCCUGCUCUCUAGUGUGCAGUUGCAGUGCAAGGUAAUGUUCAUGCCUUGUUAAAUAAAAAACAAAGAGCAAAAGAAGAAAACAGAGCUGUUUUACCAGAGAGCACAGAUUCCAUCUCCUAUUCACCACUUUGCAGAUUCUUUGCAGUCUUUGGCCUGAGGCUACAUGAACAUGCAUAUCUGAAUUUGAAAUGCAAUAGCUGAAAUCUCUCCUUCCACCUUGAAUACACUGACAAAAGCAUCACGAAAUUCAGAUUCAUGUUGAAAGGUAUGGAAAGUUCCAAAAGAGUUAGUCUGCUAUCUGUUUAACACAAAAAGAAGAGCCAACAGGCCUGUUUUUCAGUUCCUAUAUCUCCAGCAGAGAAUGAGAGCUUGAGCCCAGUGCGUUAUUAUGGAGGCCCUCAAGCCAUUGAAUAGGAGCAAUCCAAAGCAUUCAUCCAGUUUCACUCCAUCAGCUCUUCCAAUUAGGCCUGAAAAGGGGUCACUGUGAAACCUCCAUCUCUGUCCUUGCUGCUAAAAACUUCAAGAGAAGUGGCAAUUAAAAGUCUUUCGGUUAAUCAGCACUCUGCCUUCUGCUUGGUUUGCAGACAAUAGUCAAUCAACAAGACUUGAAAGAGGCUGGCAAGGAUGCAUGUAGCACUGCCCCCAUGCAGCAGCUUGGAUAAAAUGAUGAGUGCAUUACCCUGAAGGAUAUCAAUUACCCUGAAGGAUGUCACACCAAAGCAAAGGCUUAAUAAUUCAGCCCCGAGACCAGCACGUGUUGUUUAGCAGUGGAGCCAGCUGUCAUGCUUUCUCAAGUUGUGACCUCAUCGGAUUUACGAAGGAUCUGAAGCAGAACCUGUGUCCUGCCACUCUUGGUGUGAAGAAUGCUAUAUUCCAUUAUUCUGGGCAGGGGAAGUGAGAGGGCAGUGUAGUGGACUUUCGUUGGCCAUCAGUGUGAAACCAGUACAGAAUGUCUCCCUGAAGGUGCCUGUAUUUCUUCCUGAGAGUACAGGACUCCAGGCAACUGUUGCACAGGUCUUCAUUGAUCCUGUGCCAGUACUGAGCCAAGAAAAGUAUGACUAUCUGGUUACUGCUUCAGCACAAUGGACUGAUUAAAAGCUGCCAUUUUCUAACAGAAAAAUAAAAUUUGGCUUGGAGAGUGCCUACACUGGGAUCUGCAGAGCAACGUGGCACUGCAACCUCUCCCUCCUCUCAAUCAAAUGUUUGGCACAAAGCUUUUCCUCUGCAAGGGGACACCCUGUACUGCUCCACAGACCACUAGAAGGAACCUGUUCAGCAUGGGAACUUAAGGUACCCUCAUAAAUAAACCUCUG